rnacentral:rRNA from 1 species
AUACGUAGGGUGCAAGCGUUAUCCGGAAUUAUUGGGCGUAAAGCGCGCGUAGGCGGUUUGGGAAGUUACCCGUUAAAUGUUCAGGCUCAACCUGGAAAUCGCGGGUAAGACUCCCAGACUAGAGUAUAGCAGGGGCAAGCGGAAUUCCCGGUGUAGGAGUGAAAUCCGUUGAUAUCGGGAGGAACACCAAUGGCGAAGGCAGCUUGCUGGGCUAUUUCUGACGCUGAGGCGCGAAAGCGUGGGUAGCGAACGGGAUUAGAUACCCCGGUAGUCCACGCCGUAAACGAUGCAGACUAGCUAUCAGAAGUAUCGACCCUUCUUGUAGCGAAGCUAACGCGUUAAGUCUGCCGCCUGGGAAGUACGGUCGCAAGACUAAA